rnacentral:rRNA from 1 species
AGUGAACGCUGGCGGUAGGCCUAACACAUGCAAGUCGAACGGCAGCACAGUAAGAGCUUGCUCUUACGGGUGGCGAGUGGCGGACGGGUGAGGAAUACAUCGGAAUCUACUUUUUCGUGGGGGAUAACGUAGGGAAACUUACGCUAAUACCGCAUACGCCCUACGGUUGAAAGCAGGGGAUCUUGGGACUUUGCGGGAUUGAAUAAGCCGAUGUCGGAUUAGCUAGUUGGCGGGGUAAAGGCCCACCAAGGCGAGGAUCCGUAGCUGGUCUGAGAGGAUGAUCAGCCACACUGGAACUGAGACACGGUCCAGACUCCUACGGGAGGCAGCAGUGGGGAAUAUUGGACAAUGGGCGCAAGCCUGAUCCAGCCAUACCGCGUGGGUGAAGAAGGCCUUCGGGUUGUAAAGCCCUUUUGUUGGGAAAGAAAAGCAGCAGGUUAAUACCCCGCUGUUCUGACGGUACCCAAAGAAUAAGCACCGGCUAACUUCGUG